CGUUAUUACAGGCAUGUAAGCAAUUUGAGUUAAUUGUAUCCCAUUAGCAGUUAAUUGAGUAGCGUGGCUGGAGAACAACGCGUGGCUGGAGGAACAAUUGAAAAAUGGAUAAGAUAAUAAAACAAAAAAAUGAUCAAAUUAUGAAGCUGCAGGCCCAGUUAUUGGAACAACACAAAAUAUUAGAUAACAACAAAGCUAAGGAUGCUCAAAUUUUUGAGUCUACAAGCUCAGCUAGGGGAAAAGAACAAAUUGGAACAAAACAGUUUCCAAACAGUGAAGGAGGUUUUUCAAAACUCAUCCCUAACUGAACAUGAGGAUGAGUUGGCAUUAGGUGAACACAGUCAGUUAUUCAGUCCACCACCUGACAGUGUGUUAAAUUUAAAUUCUGUUAGUGCUGCACUAAAAGAAUUGUUAGUAAUAAGUCCAUGCAGCGAAGGAACUGAAGAAUUGUGGGACUGUAUUUGGGCGGAAAAUGGGUGUGGUAUGGAAACACAGAAAUGGCACGAGUUCAACAUGAAACAUGGAUUAGAAUUUUAGCGGGGGUUCAAGUCAAGUCUGGAAGUGUUACAGGAUGGAAGAGUCAGCCUGUAGUUGAAAAAACACUGAGAGUGCAUUACUGUUAAGGUGUGAGGUAAAGUAAUAGAGUAAUGUAAAUUGUCUAAUGAGAAGUACCAUCGUGUGUUAAUGAAUCCGGUACAACAGCAAUCCUUUAUAGUUCUGUCACAGCUAGAAGCCUCAAAUAAUUCUGCUUCUCUGGCUAAAGAACAACUUGUCCUUUACGUUCAUAGUGUUGGUGGAACUGGGUACUUAAAUGGCCCUAAAUAUGUUUUAAUUUUGCUGCCGUUGCAGAGAUGAACAUCAUACAUGGACUCUUUAGCCAUGUCUAAUCUACAAAAAAAAAUUAUCCAAUGGGAAAGGAUUUUCAUAUACUGGGAACACAACUAUCAACAAUGCAACAUUCUACGGGUGCUAGUUUAUCAUUCAAGAGCCUUAUACAAUG